rnacentral:rRNA from 1 species
GGAAUUACUUGGGCGUAAAGCGUUCGUAGGCGGUUAUUUAANGUUAGAUGUGAAAGCCCCGGGCUUAACCUGGGAACUGCAUUUAAAACUGGAUAACUCGAGUUUAGGAGAGGGAAGUGGAAUUUCAGGUGUAGCAGUGAAAUGCGUAGAGAUCUGAAGGAACACCAGUGGCGAAGGCGACUUCCUGGACUAAAACUGACGCUGAGGAACGAAAGCGUGGGUAGCAAACGGGAUUAGAUACCCCGGUAGUCCACGCCGUAAACGAUGUCAACUAGCCGUUGGGCCUAUAUACAGGUUUAGUGGCGGAGCUAACGUAUUAAGUUGACCGCCUGGGGAGUACGGCCGCAAGGUUAAAACUCAAAUGAAUUGACGGGGGCCCGCACAAGCGGUGGAGCAUGUGGUUUAAUUCGAUGCAACGCGAAGAACCUUACCUACCCUUGACAUCCAGAGAAUCUGUUAGAGAUAGUAGAGUGCCUUCGGGAACUCUGAGACAGGUGCUGCAUGGCUGUCGUCAGCUCGUGUCGUGAGAUGUUGGGUUAAGUCCCGUAACGAGCGCAACCCUUAUCCUUAGUUGCUAGCAGGUCAAGCUGAGAACUCUAAGGAGACUGCCGGUGAUAAACCGGAGGU